CAACAAAAUAGCAAUAUAUAAUAAUUUAAUUAGUACUGUGUUGACAUUGACCCUAGAGCACCAGGUUAGUGUAUUUUCACUAUAAAAAUUCAAACAAGAGGCAUGAGAAGUUUAUGUGGAAAAAUCUCAAUAUAAAAAAAAAAAAAGGAUAUUUAAUAUGACUAAUCUGCAGUAAGCACCAAGAAUUGAUACUUAAAAGGAAGUCCCUUCUUGUACUUAAUGCAGAUGAGUCAAACUUCUUAAAUAUAUAAAAUAUAUAUUUUAAACACAUAUUUUUAAGAUUAUAGAUACUGUGUCCAGUCAGCAAAGAUCUUCAAGGGACGGUGCAAGAGAAUAUGAAAUUCUUAGAAUAAGACAAGUUAUCCUCAUGCUAUAUAUGAGGAGGGGCAAAAGGGGGUCUGUUAACAUGUUAACAACACCUUGAUAUUUUGGCAAAAACAGUUAACAAAAAAUGCAAAAAUACUGAUAACAGUUACGUAACAUAAUGAUUUCCCCCCCCCCCCCUAUAUGGAUUAUGCCAAUUAGAAUGCAUAGUGGUCCUAAAUUCCAUUUGAAAAAAACAUGCCUAAGGAAGACUUUAUACAUGUAUGAUGUAUAUACAAAAACAUUUGACGAAAAAUUAUAAACAACAGAGUGAAGAGGGUGGUAUUCAUGGUAACUUUAUGAAACUAACAAUUAAACAAAUACAGGUUUACCGUUGUAACAAUUGUUGAUUGCCAUAAAAGGCUGAUUAAUUAGUAUUGAGAAUGAAAUAAAAAAAAUAUGUCCAACAGAAUACAAUAUAUUUAUAUAACUAUCUAUAAUAUAUGUAUAAAGUAUCUGCAUUGAGUUGCAUCUGAAAUAGUAAAAUACUGACAUAUUAAAUCUUUUCCAGGUCAGUUAUCUGUAUUGAAUGGCUGGAGAAUACAAACCUAGUACAAAUGUAUAUAGAGGAAUGAAGAGGCCUCACAUAUAACUGACUGUCAUUGGGUAAUUUUAUUAUUAACAAAAAAUUGAGAAUGGAAAUGGGGAAUGUGUCAAAGAGACAACAACCUGACCAAAGAGUAGAAAACAGCCAAAGACCACCAAUGGAUCUACAACACACUGAGAAAAUCCUACACACAGAGGCAUGCUUCAGCUACCACCUAAACAAAAAUGUGUACUACUCCCCGGAAACAUGUGGUCAAGGUGAUAAUGAAUGUUAUACUAGACUCCAAAAUUAAAAUGAACUAAAAUUAAAAAUCUUAAAAAAAUAACAAAGGCUAGAGACUCCUGACUUGGGACAGGCGCUAAAAUGCGGUGGGGUCAAACAUGUUUUGCAAGAUCUCAACCUAUCCUAAUACCUCUAUAGCUAGCCAUUGUAGAAAAACAAAAACAAUAUGCACAGUAAAUCUCAGUUUUAAAGAAGUCAUAGUCCUACAUUGUAUGUCAGAAUAGGCAAAAUGAUAGGAAAUAAAACAAAAUAAGCAAAAUGACAACUAUACAUAAAUUUACAAAGGACUACUAGCAGUUACUGACAUGUUCCUCAGACAUAUGUGAACUUAACUAAAUGUCAUACACUAUAUGUUUUAUCACUUUUUGACUUUUUUUUAGCACAUGAAAUAUAUAUUGUACCAUGUUUUUUUAAGAUUUUUUUUGUUGGUACCUUAUAAAUACUGGUAGGACAUGAAUUACCAAUAAGAAAAAUAAUUUCUUUGGUUUUAUUCCAAUACAGAUACAUGAAGUCAGACUAAAUGUUUUUGAACCUUGCAUAUCUACUUGAACUUGUUUCAUAGUUUAGCAAAAUUACUUUAUUCAGUAAAAUUUCUAAACAAAUGUAUAGUUUUGUAGACAUUGGCCUCAUAAAAAUUAGAUAUAGGAAGAUGUGGUGUGAGUGCCAAUGAGACAACUCUCCAUCCAAAUAACAAUUUAUAAAAGUAAACCAUUAUAGGUCAAUGUACGGCCUUCAACACAGAGCCUUGGCUCACACCGAACAAAAAGCUAUAAAGGACCCCAAAAUUACUAGUGUAAAACCAUUCAAACAGGAAAACCAACGGUCAAAUUGCAUUUUAUUAAACUUGGUCAAAUUAUAUUUCAGCAAAAGGCUUUGCCAUCCAAUACAUUUCAUCUUGGAUGAAAAAGAACAACAGUCUGAUGAUGGUGACAGGUCAAAUUUACCUAACAGGUAACACAUACAUACAUAACAUAUUUGUUUUAAGGUUUUAAGGCUAUUUAAACAUACAUGCAUGCAUAUUGGGACCAGGGAAGACACUUAGAGAUCCAAAGUUACAAUGUGUGGUUGGGUUAAUUGCAAUGAAAAUGUUAGUGAAAUUCUCAAUUGGCUUCUAUCAGUUGUAACCCUAUUAUGAAUGUGUUUUCCUGUGUACAAUGUGUGAUUAAAAGUAAGAGCCUAAGGCUUUAUAAUGCAUACUCCUUUUUAUUGCUUAAGUUUAAAUUUAACAAUAUUAACUAUAGUUGAAAAAUCUGUAUUUUUCAUCUGUUUUAUUUAUCCUUCCAUGGAUGGGCACUUGUUGUUUAACCUACAUGUACAUUAUUGUUAUGUUAGUUUAGUAAAUUAUUAAUAAUGGAUUAAACCCAGAUUUUGGUUAAAUAUAGCCUCCUUUUGUUGUGCUUGAUAUCCUGAUUUUUUUUAUAUAUUAAGAUAAGUAAGUUAACACUUAUAGACAUACUCCAACAAAUAUAAUAUUUUUUAACAACCAGUAUAUAUUUUAAAUGGAGAGCGUUGAAAGAGAGAGUCGAAAAAAAACAAUGCACAAAAACCAGAACAAAUUGAAACAAAUGCAUGACACAAGUGUGUUGAAAAACAAAAGGAAUGUUUCUCUGUUUAACGAGUUAUUGUAUGGACUACAAACACAAUACAAACCCUCUUAAAACCCAGGUUAUAUCAGGUGUUAAGAGUCAGCAUACACUGCUUGUAUAUGAUUUAUAGUUCAUAACAGUCUGUCAUUCUGUACCUCUGUCAAACCUUGUAAAUUAGCCAUACUUGGUAUAUAGAAUAAAGAUUAUUUGUACACAAUGAUUUUCAAUGUAAAGUUUCACACUAUAUAGGAAAAUAACUUUGUAUAAUUUUCAUAUUUCUGUUUCCUGUAAACUAGUAACGAUUACCAGUAUAGUUGUAUAGUUCUAAGCAUUUUGUCAAACAUAUAAACUUGUAAUAAUAUUCCCUGAACAUUUUGGUACAGGAUUGUGGGUAAAACUCUUAAAAUAUAAAUAUUUCUGUAACAAUUGUACAUGUAAUAACAAUUAACCACUUCAUGAUAUCCAUUACCAAAAAUGUUGUAUAGUCUGAUUAUAACCACAGAAUUUACUUUGCUUUUCAGAUACUAGUGAAGAAAUAAAGAAACAAGAGUAGACACCAUUUGACCAACUGUGCUUACAAUACUUGUGCAACAGUUGUGAUUGAUGUCCAUAUUACAUUGUAGUAUGAUAAUACUUUACAGCAUCAA
rnacentral:lncRNA from 1 species